AGUGUGACUUUUUCAGAAGGUGAGUUACGCGUUCCGGGCAGUCAGUGCACUGCUCAGCAGGAGGAGGUCCUGCAGGGGGACUGCACAGACACAGGCUGGCAGCAGGUGGUGGCUCAGCAGGAGGAGGUCCUGCAGGUGGUGCUGCAAGGGGUCGGCUGGCCGCAGGGGGGCCGGCAGCAGGGGGACUGCACAGACACAGGCUGGCAGCAGGUGGUGGCUCAGCAGGAGGAGGUCCUGCAGGUGGUGCUGCAAGGGGUCGGCUGGCCGCAGGGGGACUGCACAG
rnacentral:lncRNA from 1 species